rnacentral:ncRNA from 1 species
CUGUGGUGGAUUCGGGACUGUCCUCAGUCCCGGGUCGUCUCGGCGCGGUUCCGAGCGGUCGCUCCCUCGCGAGGUGCCGCGGGUCAGCGGCUGACGCCAGCCACCUUCCCGACCCGUCUUGAAACACGGACCAAGGAGUCUAACAUGUGCGCGAGCCGCGGGGCAGUACGAAACCCGUAAGGCGAAAUGAAGGUGAACGCCGGCGCGGUCCGGCGGAGGUUGGAUCCCGUCCCGUCGGGGCGGGCGCACUACCGGCCGAUCUUCUCCGCCCUGUCGGCGAGGUCGAGCGAGAGCGUGCAAGUCGGGACCCGAAAGAUGGUGAACUAUGCCUGAGGAGGUUGAAGCCAGAGGAAACUCUGGUGGAGGACCGUAGCGAUUCUGACGUGCAAAUCGAUCGUCAAAUUUGGGUAUAGGGGCGAAAGACUAAUCGAACCGUCUAGUAGCUGGUUCCCUUCGAAGUUUCCCUCAGGAUAGCUGGCGCUCUGUCGCAGUUUUAUCUGGUAAAGCGAAUGAUUAGAGGUCUUGGGGGCGAAACGCCCUCAACCUAUUCUCAAACUUUAAAUUGGUAAGAAGCCCGACUCGCUCGUUUGGAGCCGGGCAUGGAAUGCGAGUGCCAAGUGGGCCACUCUUGGUAAGCAGGACUGGCGAUGCGGGAUGAACCGAACGCCGGGUUAAGGCGCCCGACGCGACGCUCAUCAGAGCCCACAAAAGGUGGUGGUUGAUAUAGACAGCAGGACGGUGGCCAUGGAAGUCGGAAACCGCUAAG